UCCGUAGGUGAACCUGCGGAAGGAUCAUUACCACACCCAAAAACUUUCCACGUGAACCGUUUCAACCCAAUAGUUGGGGGUCUUAUUUGGCGGCGGCUGCUGGCUUAAUUGUUGGCGGCUGCUGCUGAGUGAGCCCUAUCAAAAAAAAGGCGAACGUUUGGGCUUCGGCCUGAUUUAGUAGUCUUUUUUUCUUUUAAACCCAUUCCUUAAUACUGAAUAUACUGUGGGGACGAAAGUCUCUGCUUUUAACUAGAUAGCAACUUUCAGCAGUGGAUGUCUAGGCUCGCACAUCGAUGAAGAACGCUGCGAACUGCGAUACGUAAUGCGAAUUGCAGGAUUCAGUGAGUCAUCGAAAUUUUGAACGCAUAUUGCACUUCCGGGUUAGUCCUGGAAGUAUGCCUGUAUCAGUGUCCGUACAUUAAACUUGACUUUCUUCCUUCCGUGUAGUCGGUGGAGGAGAUGUCAGAUGUGAAGUGUCUUGCGAUUGGUCUUCGGACCGGCUGCGAGUCCUUUUAAAUGUACUAAACUGAACUUCUCUUUGCUCGAAAAGUGGUGGCGUUGCUGGUUGUGAAGGCUGCUAUUGUGGCAAAUUGGCGACUGGUUUGUCUGCUGCGGCRUUAAUGGAAGAGUGUUCGAUUCGUGGUAUGGUUGGCUUCGGCUGAACAAUGCACUUAUUGGACGUUUUUCCUGCUGUGGCGUGAUGGACUGGUGAACCAUAGCUCGGUGGCUUGGCUUUUGAAUUGGCUUUGCUGUUGCGAAGUAGGGUGGCAGCUUCGAUUGUCGAGGGUCGAUCCAUUUGGGAACUUAAUGUGUACUUCGGUAUGCAUCUCAAUUGGACCUGAUAUCAGGCAAGAUUACCCGCUGAACUUAAGCAUAUCAAUAAGCGGAGGA
rnacentral:rRNA from 1 species